UAACCUUAAAGAAAUACAGGUUAGAGGACAAAGCACAGCUCCCUCCCUAGCAAGACUCUGCUUUCUUGUGGGACCUACAGAUUGGGCUGACAGG